rnacentral:rRNA from 1 species
UACGGAGGGUGCAAGCGUUACUCGGAAUUACUGGGCGUAAAGCGUGCGCAGGCGGUUUGUUAAGUCCGCUGUGAAAUCCCCGAGCUCAACUUGGGAAUUGCAGUGGAUACUGGCAAGCUGGAGUACGGUAGAGGAAGGUGGAAUUCCCGGUGUAGCAGUGAAAUGCGUAGAGAUCGGGAGGAACACCAGUGGCGAAGGCGGCCUUCUGGACCAGUACUGACGCUCAUGCACGAAAGCGUGGGGAGCAAACAGG